UUUCGCAAUGCCCGAAAGGGUGACGAAGCGACGCCGCGUGAGCGAAGAAGGCCCUAGGGUUGUAAAGCUCUGUCGGGGGUUAUGAAAUGCAGGUUGGUUAAUACCCAACCUGUUUGACAAAGGCCCCAAAGGAAGCCACGGCUAACUCUGUGCCAGCAGCCGCGGUAAUACAGAGGUGGCAAGCGUUGUUCGGUAUUAUUGGGCGUAAAGAGCACGUAGGUGGUUUUGUAAGUCAGAUGUGAAAGCCUUCUGUUCAAAGGAAGAACGGCAUCUGAAACUGCAGAUCUUGAGUGUAGGAGGGGAGAGUGGAACUUCUGGUGGAGCGGUGAAAUGCGUAGAUAUCAGAAGGAACGUCGGCGGCGAAAGCGACUCUCUGGCCUAUUACUGACACUGAGUGUGCGAAAGUUAGGGGAGCAAACGGGAUUAGAUACCCUGGUAGUCCUAGCUGUAAACGAUGGGCACUAAGUAGAGGGGUUUUA
rnacentral:rRNA from 1 species